UACGUAGGGUGCAAGCGUUAAUCGGAAUUACUGGGCGUAAAGGGCGCGUAGGCGGCCUGCUAAGUCGAACGUGAAAUCCCUGGGCUCAACCCAGGAACUGCGUCCGAUACUGGUUGGCUUGAAUCCGGGAGAGGGAUGUGGAAUUCCAGGUGUAGCGGUGAAAUGCGUAGAUAUCUGGAGGAACACCGGUGGCGAAGGCGACAUCCUGGACCGGUAUUGACGCUG
rnacentral:rRNA from 1 species